rnacentral:lncRNA from 1 species
CUCUGCCACCAUCUAUUGGUGAAUGAGGGGAAGAGGCAGAGUGAUCUGACCUUGCUGAUGUUCCCUUCUGUACCCAAAGCACAAUUUGCUUCAUUUUGUGGUUCUGGGCUAACAAACCUGUGUUGUCUUCAUCUUUCUGUGUGAAGAGUGCAACAGGACUGUAGUUAUGCCCUCUGAGUGAAGAACUGUCAUAGACAAAUAUUAACAUCUGGCCUGUUGUCCCACACACUUCUCAAUGGAGCAGGAGGGAGCUUUGGGGCUGCUAUUUUGCCUGUGCUUCAGAAUGGACCCACUACAGAGAAAUAAAUUGAGAAUAAAGCACUGUGUCUCAUCUCAAAAUGAUAUGAAAAAGACUUCUGAAGUUGUCUUAAGACUGUUUCUGUGGGGCUGCUGGCACAAAGUUCCCAGGAAAAGCACAUGCCUGACAGAGCUGCUGUAACCCAAAGAAACCUAGAUGGUGGCUGAUGAGGAACGACACCUGAUAAAUAACAAAAGCUUGUUUUAAGGUAAGUCUCACUUGGAGAGUGGUGGUUCUCUGUCCAAGAUGGGCAGCUGUAGACUGUGAGAUAAAAAC